rnacentral:lncRNA from 1 species
UUCUGAUCCGGGUGGCACGUUAAAUUCCUCCGGGUGUUGGUUGAGCAGAUGUGGAGGAGAUUGGCCACUGCACUGCUGCAAAAUUAACGGCUGAGAUUAUAGGUCUACAAUGGGAAUGACCCAAAUGUUUUCUCACUUUUAUUUUUAUUUCUUUCCAGAGGAGAGUUUUUUAUAAACACUGAUGCGUAACGACAUUGAGAAGGAGGGUGAGUUUUGUUGGUUUGAUUUAAACUUCUUCAAUCCUUUACGUUCACAAAAAAUGCGUUAGCGUAAACAAAACCGACUUCCCUGUAGAACCUGCAUUUCACUAUUGGCACGAGAUAAGUGUGAUAAGCAGAUCAAAUGUACCUUUAUUUCAUCAUGUUAGUGCAGUAAUAUCACGUGACAGAUGAGAUAGUCUUUAUUCACUUCCUCGUACUUUGGACAAAGUUGACAAAUGCUGAAAAUGCGUUGAGGAAGAUAAAAUGAUAUUUCAUGCUACUGUUUGAUUUUUGUCUUGCAUUCCUGCAUUGAAACCCACUUGUUCCAAGCUGCAUUAUGUAACCUUGAGGAGGAAAGCUGGAUUUGAGCACGCCGCAAUUAAGCCCGUAUUGUAAAUAACUGCAGGAGAGCUUGUGGGAGCACCCGAGUGCUGGACGCUUCUUCAAAACACAGAUGGAUUUUCCAUUCAUGGUUUACACUUUGGACUGUGCUGCUGAGCCCCUGAGAGAUGGCUGGUGGUCUGGGGCUGAGUGAGGAUAUCACCAGAGGAAUCUAAGGAGGAUGCCUGGGCUGAUCUGAAGGAGUCUGUCCUCAAGAUGGAGAAGUUCAAUAUCGUGUCCUCCUAGCUUAUGUACACCUACAUGUAUAUAUGUGUGUGUAUAUAUAUAUAUACACACACUUAUUUCUCCUCCUCCAGUAAGCAUCUCAAAGUACCUCGUUGCCAACAUCGCCAUCGCUGCUCGCUGCCCUGUGUGCCUCUCCUCUCACGUGGCAGCAGGGCAAGAAAGCCAUGAGAACACGGAACCAGCUGCAGGGUGAGUCCAUAACACCUGAGUUUUCCUUUGAGAUGUCGUCCUUGGCCAGCCAGUGCUGGUGGAGGAGCUGCAGAAGGCACAUGCUAGUGAGGACAGCGUGGAAACCCACUCAGCCCUCAGCUCCCAUACAGAUAGGCUUUGAGCAGCUGGGCCAGCCUGGUCUGAUGGGCCGUCAGGAUGAGCAGGAAUUUCCAGAGCAUCCUGUUGCACAGAGCUGGUGGGGUGAUGAUGGCACAGACUGGGCUCCAAGCUCUGCUCUUCUCCUUGGGCAGCUCUCCGUCCUGUACUGCUGCGUUGAGUGUCACACCCAAGGAAAGAGCCACCUGGUACAGCAGCAGGGGAAGAGCUACAAUAUAGUUGGAAUGAAACUGGGAUGAAAAAGAAGAAGGAAAACUCAUAAUUGGUAAUUUUUUUUUAUUUUUCUGUUGAAUGCCAAGAUAAAAACAUGAAGUUAUUUUAAACUGACUUCUGGA